GGGGGAUAUUGCACAAUGGAGGAAACUCUGAUGCAGCGACGCCGCGUGAGGGAAGAAGGUCUUCGGAUUGUAAACCUUUGUCCUUGGUGACGAUAAUGACGGUAGCCAAGGAGGAAGCUCCGGCUAACUACGUACCAGCAGCCGCGGUAAUACGUAGGGAGCGAGCGUUGUCCGGAUUUACUGGGUGUAAAGGGUGCGUAGGCGGCUCCGCAAGUCAGGUGUGAAAACCAUCGGCUUAACUGAUGGACUGCAUUUGAAACUGUGGGGCUUGAGUGGAGUAGAGGCAGACGGAAUUCCCGGUGUAGCGGUGAAAUGCGUAGAGAUCGGGAAGAACACCAGUGGCGAAGGCGGUCUGCUGGGCUCUAACUGACGCUGAGGCACGAAAGCAUGGGUAGCAAAC
rnacentral:rRNA from 1 species